GUUCAGCAAAACAAAACUUCUGUCAUACUUGUGCUGUGGAUUUCCCUACCAACAAUGGCAGAUUACAGGUUUUAUUGUGGCUAUGGGAAAUGGAAGCUGGAGUUGGUCAUUCAUCCCCUUGUCGCUGUUCCGCCAUCUGACAAGAAUGCAUCUGAAAAUGCUUGAAGACAUUUGAACUAUUCUAUCUUCAUUCUAUGUAAGAUAAAGUCUCCUCCUGGGAAAUAUCAGACCAGCUUCCAAGCUUUUCACCUAAUGGAAACCCAUUCAAUAUGUAAGAAGAGCAAAGAAGAAAUCCUUCAUCACGUCACGUAUUCCACAGGUCAAAGCAACAGUUCCCCGCCAUUGAUGAGAAUGAUAAUUACUUUUUUCUCCUUA